GAUGAACGCUGGCGGCGUGCUUAACACAUGCAAGUCGAACGGUGAAGGCGGAGCUUGCUCUGCUGGAUCAGUGGCGAACGGGUGAGUAACACGUGAGCAAUCUGCCCCUGACUCUGGGAUAAGCGCUGGAAACGGCGUCUAAUACUGGAUACGAGCUGCGAAGGCAUCUUCAGCAGCUGGAAAGAAUUUCGGUCAGGGAUGAGCUCGCGGCCUAUCAGCUUGUUGGUGAGGUAAUGGCUCACCAAGGCGUCGACGGGUAGCCGGCCUGAGAGGGUGACCGGCCACACUGGGACUGAGACACGGCCCAGACUCCUACGGGAGGCAGCAGUGGGGAAUAUUGCACAAUGGGCGAAAGCCUGAUGCAGCAACGCCGCGUGAGGGACGAUGGCCUUCGGGUUGUAAACCUCUUUUAGCAGGGAAGAAGCGAAAGUGACGGUACCUGCAGAAAAAGCGCCGGCUAACUACGUG
rnacentral:rRNA from 1 species